rnacentral:lncRNA from 1 species
ACUGUCGCAGAGGGGAAAGGUCGCCAGUCAAGCUGACCAAUCAAAGGCUAACUCUAAAUCCCUCCCUCUGCACGGUAAAAACACGCAAAUUGGGGCGGGCCUAGUGCGGAAAGAUACCGGAAGUGUUUCUGUGGCCAUCUUGAACAGAUCGCAAGCUAAAUCAUCCAUCUUAGGAGAGUCUCACCCUGAUGUCCAGGCUGGAGUGCAAUCACUCAGUCUCGGCUCACUGCAACCUCCACCUCCUGGGUUCAGAUGCUGUUGACUGGGGCAAAGAAUAAUGGGAGAAAAACAGCUGGGUCCUAAAUAACAGAGGGAAACCAACUUUCAAUAAAGUAUUCAACAACUAA